rnacentral:rRNA from 1 species
AUUGAACGCUGGCGGCAGGCCUAACACAUGCAAGUCGAGCGGUAGAGAGGUGCUUGCAUCUCUUGAGAGCGGCGGACGGGUGAGUAAUGCCUAGGAAUCUGCCUAGUGGUGGGGGAUAACGUUCGGAAACGGACGCUAAUACCGCAUACGUCCUACGGGAGAAAGCGGGGGAUCUUCGGACCUCGCGCCAUUAGAUGAGCCUAGGUCGGAUUAGCUAGUUGGUGAGGUAAUGGCUCACCAAGGCGACGAUCCGUAACUGGUCUGAGAGGAUGAUCAGUCACACUGGAACUGAGACACGGUCCAGACUCCUACGGGAGGCAGCAGUGGGGGAAUAUUGGACAAUGGGCGAAAGACCUGAUCCAGCCAUGCCGCGUGUGUGAAGAAGGUCUUCGGAUUGUAAACUGCUUUGUACGGACGAAACGGUGAGCUCUAAUACAGUUUGCUAAUGACGGUACCGUAAGAAUAAGCACCGGCUAACUACGUGCCAG